rnacentral:rRNA from 1 species
AGUGAACGCUGGCGGUAGGCCUAACACAUGCAAGUCGAACGGCAGCACAGUAAGAGCUUGCUCUUACGGGUGGCGAGUGGCGGACGGGUGAGGAAUACAUCGGAAUCUACUUUUUGUGGGGGGUUACGUAGGGAAAAUUACGCUUAUACCGCCUACGACCUACGGGGGAAAGCAAGGGGUCUUCGGACCUUGCGCGAUUGAAUGAGCCGAUGUCGGAUUAGCUAGUUGGCGGGGUAAAGGCCCACCAAGGCGACGAUCCGUAGCUGGUCUGAGAGGAUGAUCAGCCACACUGGAACUGAGACACGGUCCAGACUCCUACGGGAGGCAGCAGUGGGGAAUAUUGGACAAUGGGCGCAAGCCUGAUCCAGCCAUACCGCGUGGGUGAAGAAGGCCUUCGGGUUGUAAAGCCCUUUUGUUGGGAAAGAAAAGCAGCAGGUUAAUACCCCGCUGUUCUGACGGUACCCAAAGAAUAAGCACCGGCUAACUUCGUG